rnacentral:rRNA from 1 species
UACGGAGGAUCCGAGCGUUAUCCGGAUUUAUUGGGUUUAAAGGGUGCGUAGGCGGGGAAUUAAGUCAGUGGUGAAAGUUUGCAGCUUAACUGUAAAAUUGCCAUUGAAACUGAUUUUCUUGAGUACAAAUGAGGUAGGCGGAAUGUGUUGUGUAGCGGUGAAAUGCAUAGAUAUAACACAGAACACCAAUUGCGAAGGCAGCUUACUGGGAUGUAACUGACGCUGAGGCACGAAAGCGUGGGGAUCAAACAGG